rnacentral:tRNA from 1 species
AUUUAUAUAGUUUAAAAUAAAACCUUACAUUUUCAUUGUAAAAUUAAAACUUAGUUUUUAUAAAUA